CACGUUUCAGUGAGUUGAAUAAUCAAUGUUAGAAGUCAGUGCAACACAAAAAUUAAAAAACAGCUCCUUAACUUAAAUGUUUGAGUAUAUUGAAUAAAAUACUUUUGUCAUCAAUCAACAACAGAAAAUAUUAAGUUUGUGUAACAUGUAAAAAUGAGUUUCAACAUCCUUCCUGUUUGAAUUGAGACCAUUCAGACAGACGAGGGCAACCCCGUAGCAUAUGUUCGUAUCGUGCGCAACAGUUUCUGGAUUCUUGUGGCUUCGUGGGAGAAGAGGUGUGUUUGCCCUCGACUGUGUUCGGAACCGAAAACACACUCCUCACUCAUUGGAUGACUUCAAGCCUGAGCUGAUACAGAGAGUUCGGUGGAAAUGAAGAGAGAGGUCGCAAUCCGUUGCCUGAAGGUGUA